UGUUUCACUCAAUCCGUAUGCAUUAAAUAAAAUUUUACAUCAAAUUUUAUUUUGGGUCUUUUGUUUUACUGGUUGCCAGUGUUGGAUUUUGUGUUGGUAUCUUGGAGUCCAGCGUCUUUUGCGGAUUUUGCAAACACGCGUCCUUUUUCGACUUUGAACCAUCUUGGUGAAAGCAAGGGAAGCCUUCUGAUCUCUGCCGAAAAUAAAAGAAAUUCUAGUGAAAUUUUGGCUGGUCGCCGUUCCAUAUUGGGAUUGUUCAGUAGAAUUACGGUCUUGGAAUUCAUUGAGGGUCGAGAAGACCGAUUGGCAAGAAAUUGAGCUUGGCCUGUGUGUAGUUGGAAUUCCGGGGGAAACCUUGAAAAAGGGAUAUCUUUGUUGGUUGGAGGACAGGAGUUGUAGAUGGGUGCGUGGACGUACUGGGAUGAGUACGAGGACAGUUAAGGAACCCUUUUCCAUGGAGUAACAUGCGUUGAGACGCCAUCUUGUCUUGGAAGGUCCGCAUGGUGGAAAGGUAUUUUACUAUGUCCAAACUAGAACGUGUCACUAAAA
rnacentral:lncRNA from 1 species